rnacentral:lncRNA from 1 species
GUUGGAGUCCUUGUUCUUUGGCAAUUCAGGGUGACAAAGGGAUCCAAAUAGUUGUUAUAGGAGAGGUGGAGGUAACAUCUGAAGUGAUCCACAUACAUAAUAUUCGUGUUGGGAGUGGUUUUCGUCGUGUCAAGAUCCUUGAAGAAAUAGUGUCGUCUGCAGAAUUACCAUGUCCAACCGAAGAAUUUAAAUUUGUAUGUCAAGCUAUGAAAAGUUUUGUUCCGUGGCCUAUUCACUUGAUCUUUCCAAAGGCAGAGGUACAAAAUUUUAUUAUAUUUCGAAUAAUAGUUCACUCAUACUUUACCAUUGUAAUAAAUUUUGUUUUUUUGCUUUUGUAUUAAGGGUGAUAAACAACAAUGUCAAGGGGAUAAAUCAUUAAUGAGUAUGAGAUAAAUCUGAUUGAAUAACAUAAAAAUCUCACAUAUGAAUAUUAUGUUGGAAUUUGAUAAAAAUAAUAAUAAGGAUAUAGAGACAGUAGUUUUAUAUGUAUAAACAGAGAAGAUACAUAAAGACUACAUU